rnacentral:tRNA from 1 species
GCCUGGGUGGCUCAGUCAGUUAAGCGUCAGACUUCAGCUCAGGUCAUGAUCUCGUGGUUCGUGAGUUCGAGCCUCACAUCGGGCU